rnacentral:lncRNA from 1 species
UAUCAAAUCAUUUUCUUGCAUCCAUUGGUUUUUUGUAAAAUCCUUCAUCUUACAAAAAAGCAGCAUUCAGAUCGCUUUUUAGAAGAGCGUUUGUUUACUUCUUGGACCAACAAAGCCUACAAACAGAAAUGGAGUAUAUUUACAACUUAGGACACCAACAUGGGUACACAAAAGGAUUUAUGAAAAGCAUAUGUACAAAGAUAGAGCAAUCAUCAAAGAAACAAAAGGCUGAAAUGACGCCCGCCCCAAAUGUAAACCACACUGACACUGAAACCUUCCUCUCUUUAUCAUAUUCUAUAGUAAAACAUAGCUCUUAAAAACCUUUUAAAGAAAGCUAAAAAAAGACAGCAUAUCUUCAAACACCCAUGGUUUUUAACAAGAUUAGAAAUGAAAAAGAUAGAAGAAGCAACCAUGAGAAAUCAGGCAUAUAUAGAAUUUCAGCCAGUAUCAUCAAUAUACAGCAAUGUACGACUUACAUAGAUAUAACCAAGAGGACGCUAACAAAAGAGGAUCAAGAACACAAAAAAAGAUCUAGCAGAUGGAAGAAUUACCACUUCCCUAGCUAUAGAAGCUUAUCCUAAUGAUUUGCAAGUGGACUGGAACAAUGCAAAGUUCGUAAAACCUAUAUCAGUAAAAUCUCAAGCCUAUUUAACAAAAUCCUUAGAAAU